rnacentral:lncRNA from 1 species
CUGAGCCAACAGCUGGACCAGUUCUACAUUCAGAUACUUCAAGUCAUCCCACUGUAGCCUAUUCUUCAAACCAGACAACUAGCUCUCAGGAGCAGCCAAAGCUGACUCAGUCCCCAGUUUUGCCUGUGGUUCAAGGUCAGUCCUCUGUUAUGCCCAUAUAUGCUGCUGGAGUUGGAGUUGUUUCACAGUCCCAAAUCUCUCCCUUAACUAUCCAGAAGGUCUCACAGAUAAAGCCUGUAUCCCAACCAAUUGGAGCUGAACAACAAGCAACUCUUCAAAAUCCAGAUUUUGUUCGAAGCUUGAAUCAAGAUGUGACAUCUGUGAAAGAAAACACCAAUAACCCUGAUACCCCAAGUGGAAAUGGCAAACAGGAUCGGAACAAACAACGAAGAGCCUCCUGUCCCCGACCAGAGAAGGGGACUAAAUUCCA